UGUGUGGGAGCCAAUCAUAGGAUGUGGCUCAUAAGUGGGUCAGAAGUGUGUGUCCCCUUCAACUCGGUGGAGAGUGAUCAGAUAUGGAUUUGGGAGUAUGUGGAAGCAGCAAGCAGAGGAACAGAGCAUGAGAAGAAGCAAGAAAGAAACAACCUCAGAACAGCAGGAGGCAGCAGCACUUGGAAGCGGACAGAAGAAAUAUUGAUACAAUGAGCUCCUUUGACCACAGAUUGGUAUUGGGCCCUGAGUGGAGUUGAGUGAGUGUGUUUCUCACUCCCUUGCACAUUGGUAAAACGAAGUAAAAAGUGUUCCACAGUAA